rnacentral:sRNA from 1 species
GCUUAAAGAACUUGAUAUUGUUUGUUUUCAUUGUUCUUCUGGCCAUGGUAGACGCUCUAAAAGGAAGAAACACUUUGAAAGAAAAACGAACUUUAAUCAAUUGAUACAGGCAUAGAUGCAGAGAUACUCGCAAUUGGAUGGAUGCUAAUGAUGCGUCAUGGUCAUGGGACGAUGUCUGGAGCUUUCGACGGCGAAUUUCAGCAGACAAUUUGGCAAGCUGUCAACGCCACUCACUGUGCGAAUGGUGGGCGUGGCACACAGGGUAGGAUAUACAUAUAUACCUAACCCAAAGAGUAAGGGAAUCGACAAUCCGAAGCUAAUGAUUGUCUGAGAGACGUUUGCCAGCAAAGACAUCAAUCAAUCCGAAGCUAAAGUGAAACCACCCCCAAGGGAGGAUACGCACUGACUGCCCCACCGCCUUCAUCAGAUUGUACACACAAACGUUCGGCUCUGCUCCUUAAAUAACAGCAACAGCUUGACCCAUGCGCGUGUCCAUUCAUGAAUUAUUAGUUGGAGCUUAUCAAACGUGACCAAAAUAGGAACGGAAAAAAUAUUAAUAAUAAAAAAAAGGGAAAAACAGUUGGCCUCUGCCAGCUGUUGCUGGGAAGCAAUAGCAGGACAACGGACCAGGCCCAAGCAAGUGUGGAAAAUCAGCAAAAACGAGGCCAACUUCCGAGAAAAAGCGAGGGGAAAGUUGUGAGUUGCUGCGGAGACCGCAACUCUACAUUUACAUUUGUAUACCC